UACGUAGGGUGCGAGCGUUAAUCGGAAUUACUGGGCGUAAAGCGUGCGCAGGCGGUUCGUUGUGUCGGUGGUGAAAGCCCCGGGCUUAACCUGGGAAUGGCCAUGGAAACUGGCGAACUGGAGUGUGGCAGAGGGGGGUGGAAUUCCAGGUGUAGCGGUGAAAUGCGUAGAUAUCUGGAGGAACACCGGUGGCGAAGGCGGCAUCCUGGACCAAUAUUGACGCUGAGGAGCGAAAGCCAGGGGAGCAAACGGG
rnacentral:rRNA from 1 species